rfam:Roseburia hominis A2-183, complete genome.
AUAAUGAUACUUCCGGCUUAGUCCGGUCAGAUAAGAUGACGGUGCGAUACCGAUGU